rnacentral:lncRNA from 1 species
GUUUGUGUCAGCUGUCUUGUCUGUGUCCCCUGCCAGCUCCGUGUUCCUUGCUGUCAGGCCAGCAGGAGAAGCUGAAAUGUCCUUGGUUCCAGGGCACAGCUGAGGUGGAAGCUUUCUGGUAAUAUGAAGAAUGCAGUACUUUUUCAGGAGUACUGACCAACUGUGUCUGAAACUGCAGAUGGAAUCAUGGCUGAUGUCAAUAAUUCCUGUACUGCUGCUUUGAGUACCUCUAUGUUGCUUGUGAAAAUGACAGCUGUUGAACAUUUUUAUGAGAGACACAUUGCACUUAUCAGGAUCUGAAGGCUCUCUGUGUAUAUCUGAUGACUAAGGGAAAUAAACUGCUAGAAAAUCACAGAGGAUCUCAUGGUGUCAUAACAAAUGCAAUAACAAGUCAGUCUUUGUAUUCAGCAGAAGAACAGCAGUACAGACUGGACAGAUGAAAAAAGAAGUGCCCUGUGGCUCAUAGCAUCGUAUGGAGAUAAAUUUCCAAAAAGAGGAGAGGAAGAUCCACCUAUCUCUGUAACAAAGUUCAUUGUACUCUCGUGAGAUAUGUCACUGAAAUGAGAAAUGUGAAAAAAAGACUGUGGGAUAAAGCUUCGACGGCUGCCAUGAAUGCUCACUUCAGUCAGCAAAGAACCAAGAAGAAUCUAUCCAAGUUUCUCAGCCGUCAGCAGAAAACUGGUUGAAUAUUUUCUACAGCUCAUCCUUCAGACAAGUUCACUAGUUCAGAAAACACCUUGGGACCAAUUCAUGUUAGUGUGUGUCUGUACUGCUUCUUUCAUUAGCAUUAAGAGCCUCAAAGUAAUUUAAGUCAAUGAUCU